GCCACACUGAAGGUAAAUCUUUUGUUUUAAAUGGUAUCUAUAUAUCCAUGGCAACAUGCUUAAAAUUGGAUACUUAGGAACAAAUAAAAUAAUCUGUAAAGUAUUUAAAGUUUUAGGCAGAAUUAUGGGUAUUUCAUUCAACAAAAUACAAGCAGCAGAAUUGCCAAAUAAAUUUUAAACGUUGAUAAAGGUGAGCAGACAUGUAUCACAUCUAAAC